CAAGCUGUGAUGAAAUUUUUGUCUAGACUUGUUUAGAUCAAAAUUUAGUCUAUAUAAUGCAAAUGGUCCAUUGGGCGACGGCUACGAGAUUGUGAAGGCUGAUUUACACUACACAACCUUUGCCUAAAACUGUCGCAUCCAACCUGCUUACAACUUGAGUUGUACUGUGUAAAUCAAGCACACAACUCACUUACGUUGUCGUGGGUGUGCAUGAUGGCGUAAGAAUAUGGCAUACCCAAAUAAAUGAAUCUCGUACUCGUAGCCAAAUCUAAAACUCCAGGAUACGAUGGAAAACGGAUAUUUUCACUCGUGAGAACGGAGCUUUUCGAAAACGACUUUGUGUCGGCAGGGGCGACACGAAGGUUUCCAAUGACGACAACGUCAUGAGCACAAUCAUGCGUUGCGUACGUGCUGAAUUGCUUGUCUAAAACUGGGUAUAUUCGUCAUUAAUGUGAAGCAAUGCUGCAAUAGUUUGCAAAAGACAACACGAUGCUGCACACCGACACUGUACUGGGUUAUUUUCGAUCUUUGUCAUUAUCAGCGACGAUUUUAGGACAGAUCUCGACGGACAAUAUUAGAAAUUGCCUCUUUCCCUGAAGAUUUCCUCUUGGUCUUCCUGUAAUUAAUUAACAACGAAAUUAAUAAAUAAAUCUCGAAAAUCGUCAGUUUCUAAGUGUUGACCGUAGUCAACAAUCCGAAAACACAGUGACAGUGUGGACACAGAUAUUUGUACGCGUUCUCCCUGAAUAUCAAAAACGAAGGAUUUGAAAACGGAUUAGUGUGAAAAUUUGCAUCAUUUACGUGACAUAUCGGAGCC